GAUGAACGCUGGCGGCGUGCUUAACACAUGCAAGUCGAACGAAGCACUGAAAGCGGAACACUUCGGUAUGAAGCUUUCUUUGACUGAGUGGCGGACGGGUGAGUAACGCGUGGGUAACCUGCCUCAUACAGGGGGAUAACAGUUAGAAAUGACUGCUAAUACCGCAUAAGCGCACGGAACCGCAUGGUUUUGUGUGAAAAACUCCGGUGGUAUGAGAUGGACCCGCGUCUGAUUAGCUGGUUGGCGGGGUAACGGCCCACCAAGGCGACGAUCAGUAGCCGGCCUGAGAGGGUGAACGGCCACAUUGGGACUGAGACACGGCCCAA
rnacentral:rRNA from 1 species